AGUUGUUUAAAGAACACCACAAAAGCUAUUAAAACUUUGACAGAUGUUCUGGUGAAAUGUGAAACUGCUUUUUUUACAUUCAGGAAUAACGUUAUUUCAUAAUUGUGAUAAUUCUAUGAUCAGAAAACUUGAAAAAUUAACUUUGAUGGAUUUUUUUUUUUUUUUCCUAGAAUGCUUUUUUCAUAAGAGAACUACACGAGUUCUGGAAGCAUGAAGAUUUGGCAAGAAAUUAAAUCAUUCGGAAAGUGGAAUUUUAAUCCUUAUAGGAGUUCUACUUAAAGUGUCAUCUCACAAAUGUGUUUUCAUCUUGGGAAUGGUCAUGUUGGCUGUCUGCUCCCUUGACAAUAAUAAUUGGAACUAGGAUUUCCAUCACAUAUGUUUCAGUGUCAUGUUCCUUCAGUUAAGGAAACUUUGAAGUGCUAGAAAUUACAUGAAUUCAUGUAGCCAUGUAGUCCAUUUUCCUACAAAAGUAGAAGAAUCAGACUGAAUAUAACUGAGUGAUUGCCGAAUCUGUCUUGAAAGUUGGAUGGCCAGCAUGAGUUUCCACUGCAGCUUUUUUGCAUGGCCGUGCAGGAAAAAAUGCGUCAUUGUCCUUUCCUCCCUCACCCCCCAGUUACGGAUCGCUCAUGCUGAUAUGCAAACCGUGUCCCCAGGUCUCUCCCCAGCCUCCCUCACAGUGACUCAGCUGCAGCUCUUCACCCCACUGUGGUGUCCACCCGAGCCCUUCUGUGCCGGUUCCGUGCGAUGCUGGGGCCAGCACGGCGGCAGCUGCUGCUCCGAGGUACCGCCACACUGCUGGCCGCACCUGAACCCCAGAGCCCAGUAAAGUGUCUGCAAGUUUGUUAAUAAACUGUCUUUAUUCCUUUAAGUCUUAAGCCUG
rnacentral:lncRNA from 1 species